rnacentral:rRNA from 1 species
UACGUAGGGUGCAAGCGUUAAUCGGAAUUACUGGGCGUAAAGCGUGCGCAGGCGGCUUUGCAAGUCAGAUGUGAAAUCCCCGGGCUUAACCUGGGAACUGCAUUUGUGACUGCAUGGCUGGAGUGCGGCAGAGGGGGAUGGAAUUCCGCGUGUAGCAGUGAAAUGCGUAGAUAUGCGGAGGAACACCGAUGGCGAAGGCAGCCCCCUGGGUCGACACUGACGCUCAGGCACGAAAGCGUGGGGAGCAAACAGG